GGGCUCCUUCGGGAGCACCGGCGGACUGCUCAGUAACACGCGGACAACCUACCCUCGGGUGGGGGAUAACCUCGGGAAACUGAGGCUAAUACCCCAUAGGCCUCGGAUACUGGAAGGUUCCGAGACCGAAAGCUCCGGCGCCCGAGGAUGGGUCUGCGGCCUAUCAGGUAGUUGGUGGUGUAAAGGACCACCAAGCCUACGACGGGUACGGGCCCUGAGAGGGGGAGCCCGGAGAUGGACUCUGAGACACGAGUCCAGGCCCUACGGGGCGCAGCAGGCGCGAAACCUUCGCAAUGCGCGAAAGCGCGACGAGGGGAGCCCGAGUGCCCUUCCUUUCGGGAGGGCUUUUCUGGAGCCUAAAAAGCUCCAGGAAUAAGGGCUGGGCAAGACGGGUGCCAGCCGCCGCGGUAAUACCCGC
rnacentral:rRNA from 1 species